GAACGAACGCUGGCGUCGUGCUUAAAGAGAAAAGUCGAGCGGUAAGGCCCUUCGGGGUACACGAGCGGCUAUUCCCCUGAGUAACACGUGGGUGACCUGCCCCUUACUCUGGGAUAAGCCUGGGAAACUGGGUCUAAUACCGGAUAUGACCUCUCAUUGCAUGGUGGGUGGUGGAAAGUUUUUUCGGUGGGGGAUGGGCCCGCGGCCUAUCAGCUUGUUGGUGGGGUGAUGGCCUACCAAGGCGACGACGGGUAGCCGGCCUGAGAGGGCGACCGGCCACACUGGGACUGAGACACGGCCCAGACUCCUACGGGAGGCAGCAGUGGG
rnacentral:rRNA from 1 species